rnacentral:rRNA from 1 species
AGGUGUGGGGACCAUUCCACGGUUCCGCGCCGCAGCUAACGCUUAAGUGCCCCGCUGGGGAGUACGGCCGCAAGGUAAAAUCAAAGGAAUGACGGGGGCCCGCACAAGGGCGGAGCUUGCGGAUUAAUUCGAUGCAACGCGAAGAACCUUACCAAGGCUUGACAUGUUCUCGAUCGCCGUAGAGAUACGGUUUCCCCUUUGGGGCGGGUUCACAGGUGGUGCAUGGUGUCGUCAGCUCGUGUCGUGAGAUGUUGGGUUAAGUCCCGCAACGAGCGCAACCCUCGUUCCAUGUUGCCAGCACGUAGUGGUGGGGACUCAUGGGAGACUGCCGGGGUCAACUCGGAGGAAGGUGAGGACGACGUCAAAUCAUCAUGCCCCUUAUGUCUUGGGCUUCACGCAUGCUACAAUGGCCGGUACAAUGGGUUGCGAUACUGUGAGGUGGAGCUAAUCCCAAAAAGCCGGUCUCAGUUCGGAUUGGGGUCUGCAACUCGACCCCAUGAAGUGGGAGUCGCUAGUAAUCGCAGAUCAGCAACGCUGCGGUGAAUACGUUCCCGGGCCUUGUACACACCGCCCGUCAAGUCACGAAAGUUGGUAACACCCGAAGCCGGUGGCCUAACCCUUGUGGGGGGAGCCGUCGAAGGUGGGACCAGCGAUUGG